UAAACUUAACCUGGGACUGCAAAAUUCUGGGGAGUAACUGACAAGAUAAAGAAAGCUCCAGAACCCUGGGCAAUAUUCCUACCCCAACAGUCAUCUGGAAUAAAGGAAUAUUGGAAGCUGUACACCCAUGACGUCUUAGAGGUUUGCAAGAGGACUGUAUUCAGCCAAAUAUCUGAGCAUCAUUAACAGACCACCUACAGAGGAUCAGUGUGCCCUGCGUUGAAAAGCCAGCUGCAGUGAGACACUUUUGAAUGAAGAAGCAUCUGGAAAUUGAGGAUAUCAGAGAAGCCACCUACUGAUGUAGAGAGGAGAUCAGCUAUACCUGAGGAAACAGAACCUACAAAUAAUGACUCUCUGUAGGAGCUUCAAGUCCACCAGAAUUUUCAUGAGCUAACCUGACUACAAGAUGAUGCCCAUACUGUAUCUGCUGGAGGUAGCCUGAUCAAAAACAUUGUAAUUAUGGAGACGAUUCUUCUUUUUAUCUCCUGUAACACCUGUACCUCUCCUCUGUCUAACCAUUAAAGGGAGCAGUUACCCACAAAUGUACUAUAUGCAUGUCCCAAUGGUAAAGAGUACACAGACAACUUAGAGGCAGGAUUGAAUACACAAGAAGAGUGGUUCUUGGUGUUCUGAGGGGCACUUCGCCUACUCAUGUGUGCUGCACAUCUUCCACCCCCAAAAUGAGACCUAUGUGGAAAAGGGCGACAUUGAGCAAAGGGCAUAGAUGGAAACUCACUCUCCCUACAACACAUCCUCAGCUAUUUUGAGCUCCAAAGUUUAAAGAGAGAAAGAAGACUUGCUUCAGAUGGCUGGCACCACUGUCACCAUCCCCAUCUCAGAUUCAGAGAAAGGUGUACAAGAAGGAGAAAAGCAGGUGGUUUUCCAUGGGAAGCAAGGGCUAAGGAUGGGAACCUGAUCAUCCAACAAAAGAUCCUGAUCUUUAAAGAGGCCAUUCUACCUUAGCCCAACUGAGAUAAUGAUAUGAAUGUCCAGAGAUGAAUGCCAUGUUUAUAAUGAAAUUGAAUAACAUCAUCACUCCAAGAAGAACCCCAUACCUAUGUGCAUUCACCCUGUAUUUCUCCUUUUCUUCAG